CCUGUGGGCAGGGGCCGUGCCUUCCUGCGCUACUGCCUGGUGCACCGUCAGCUGGCCGAGUCCCUGCAGCUCUGCCUGCUUGACCCCGAGAGCCUCAGGUGAGAGCAUGAGGAGCACAGGGGUGGCUGUGCCACUACAAGGCAUGGCUCCCUGCUCUGUGCGCUCGAAAAGGGUGUGUGAGAUUCUGUUUUGGUUGCAGUGAGUGGUACUAUGCCCGCAGCCCCUUCCUGAGCCCCCAGCGGCGGGCUGAGAUACUGGGCAGCCUGUACGAGCUGGAUGGCAUCACCUUCCACCUGGCCCUGCACAGAGCUGACCUGGACACUGCCUGGCCCAUGUUCUCCGAGUGAGUCCUGGGCACAUGAGGGAAUGCCGGAGAGAAUGGGGACACCUGGGGCUCAACAUUGCUGCCUCGGUGGCCCUAAGCCCCAUGUUCCCUCUAGGACGCUGGUGCGGCCCAGCGUGGUGAAGAUGACCCUGCAGAUAGAAGGUAGCGGCACAGGGGUACAUGGAUGUCCUGAUGGCAUCGCCCAGCCAGUUGCAGUGUCCCACAGGGUGCCAGCCUGUCCCAGCCCACAGGCAGGGGGUGAGGAGGGGGAUGAUGUGGAAGCAGAAGAGAAUGGAGAGGAAGACAUGGAGGACGAUGAAAAGGAGGAGGACGUGCCCAGCACUGCCGAGGCACAGUGUAACACCAACGUGGAUCCCAACCUGACCCCAGCACCCGACCCGGGGAUCACACCCGGCUCCCCAGCUCGUAGUGGGAUGGAGGCAUCCCUGCGAGCACAGGUGUCCCAGCUGCGUGUUGAGCUGGGGCGACAGGAGGAGGCCUGGCGUGCCCAGCUGGAACGGGAGGAGCGGCAGCACCGGCAGAAAGAAGAGCGCAGUGCCCGGCAGGUCCGGCUGUGGGCCCACGAGGCCGAGGCGCUGCGGGACACCAACGCCUUCCUCAGCCGAACUCUGGCUGAGGCGGCGGGUGGCCCGGGGGGGCUGGCACAGGCGCAGGAGGAGGCUCGGCGGGGGCGGGAGGUGGCGGAGGAGCGGGCAGCACAACUGGACGAGGCAAUGGCAGAGGUGGCGGUGCUGACCUCGCGCCUGCAGGAGUGCCAGGCUGCGAUGCAGGCACGGGGACAGACAGACGCCCCAGCCCAGAUGGCCGCCCUGGAGGAGGUGCUGCGGCGGGCACUGGAGCUCUCCCGUGGCCAACUGAUGGACAAUCAGGAAGAGGGGGACCCCAGCACAGCUGCUGGCAUGGCAAUGCGCCUCGCGACUCUGGUCACAGCAACACGGGAGGAAGCCUUGCAGAGCAGGCAGCAGAUCCAGGCCCUGCGGGAGGAGGUGGUGCGGCUGCAGGAGCAGCUCAGCAGGUGGGGAGGGGACAAACUGCAGGGUGCCCUACAUGCUGCAGGGGUCACCCCAUGGUGCCCCACUUUGACCCAGGGGAUGGGCAGGGAGGGAGAGAUGUGGAGAGGGAGAGAUGGAGUUGGGAAGGGAAACAGGUAGAAGUUUGGGGAUUGAUGAGUAGGUGGAAG
rnacentral:lncRNA from 1 species